AUUGAACGCUGGCGGAAUGCUUUACACAUGCAAGUCAAACGGCAGCACGGGGGCAGCCCUGGUGGCGAGUGGCGAACGGGUGAGUAAUACAUCGGAACGUGCCCGGUCGUGGGGGAUAACGUAGCGAAAGUUACGCUAAUACCGCAUACGAUCUGAGGAUGAAAGCGGGGGACCUUCGGGCCUCGCGCGAUCGGAGCGGCCGAUGUCAGAUUAGGUAGUUGGUGGGGUAAAGGCCUACCAAGCCGACGAUCUGUAGCUGGUCUGAGAGGACGACCAGCCACACUGGGACUGAGACACGGCCCAGACUCCUACGGGAGGCAGCAGUGGGGAAUUUUGGACAAUGGGCGCAAGCCUGAUCCAGCCAUUCCGCGUGCAGGACGAAGGCCUUCGGGUCGUAAACUGCUUUUGUACGGAACGAAAAGGCUCUGGCUAAUACCUGGGGCUCAUGACGGUACCGUAAGAAUAAGCACCGGCUAACUACGUG
rnacentral:rRNA from 1 species